GACGAACGCUGGCGGCAUGCCUAACACAUGCAAGUCGAACGAAGGCUUCGGCCUUAGUGGCGCACGGGUGCGUAACGCGUGGGAAUCUGCCCUUGGGUACGGAAUAACUCUCCGAAAGGAGUGCUAAUACCGUAUGAUGUCCCAAGACCAAAGAUUUAUCGCCCAGGGAUGAGCCCGCGUAGGAUUAGGUAGUUGGUGGGGUAAAGGCUCACCAAGCCGACGAUCCUUAGCUGGUCUGAGAGGAUGAUCAGCCACACUGGGACUGAGACACGGCACAGGCUCCUACGGGAGGCAGCAGUGGGGAAUAUUGGACAAUGGGCGAAAGCCUGUUCCAGCAAUGCCGCGUGAGUGAUGAAGGCCUUAGGGUUGUAAAGCUCUUUUACCCGGGAAGAUAAUGACUGUACCGGGAGAAUAAGCCCCGGCUAACUCCGUGCCAGCCGCCGCCGUAA
rnacentral:rRNA from 1 species